rnacentral:rRNA from 1 species
UUAAGUCGACCCGCCUGGGGAGUACGGCCGCCAAGGUUAAAACUCCAAAUGAAUUGACGGGGGCCCGCACAAGCGGUGGAGCAUGUGGUUUAAUUCGAUGCAACGGGAAGACCCUUACCUACUCUUGACAUCCAGAGAAUUUAGCAGAGAUGCUUUAGUCCCUUCGGGAACUUUGAGACAGGUGCUGCAUGGCUGUCGUCAGCUCGUGUUGUGAAAUGUUGGGUUAAGUCCCGCAACGAGCGCAACCCUUAUCCUUUGUUGCCAGCGGGUAAUGGGGGGAACUCAAAGGAGACUCCCGGUGAUAAACCGGAGGAAGGUGGGGAUGACGUCAAGUCAUCAUGGCCCUUACGAGUAGGGCUACCCACGUGCUACAAUGGCAUAUACAAAGAGAAGCGAACUCGCGAGAGCAAGCGGCCCUCAUAAAGUAUGUCGUAGUCCGGAUUGGAGUCUGCAACUCGACUCCAUGAAGUCGGAAUCGCUUGUUAUUGUAGAUCAGAAUGCUACGGUGAAUACGUUCCCGGGCCUUGU